UUAAGUUUAACUAUUCUCAU
rnacentral:snRNA from 1 species